rnacentral:lncRNA from 1 species
GGGAAUGAGGGCUGCGCGGGGCAGGGCGGGAGCAGCGCCGCGUGGGAUCUGCACGGGGCAGAGCGGGAGCAGCACUGCAGGGGGCAGGCUGAACCCGAGGGAAAUAGGCAGCUUCGGGAAGUGGGUUCUUGUCUUUUGCUUUGGAAAAGAGAUAUCAAAGAUGAUUGUUUGCCAUCUGUGAGGAGAACAUUCCCUUUACAGUGAUGACACACUUUGAUUUCCUGGUGUAUGCAGUAUGCACUGUGGUG